UUAGAUUAAGUUAUUAAGGGCGCACGGUGGAUGCCUUGGCACUAGAAGCCGAUGAAGGACGUUACUAACGACGAUAUGCUUUGGGUAGCUGUAAGUAAGCGUUGAUCCAGAGAUUUCCGAAUGGGGAAACCCAGCACAAGUUAUGUUGUGUUAUCGACAAGUGAAUUCAUAGCUUGUCAGAAGGCAGACCCGGAGAACUGAAACAUCUUAGUACCCGGAGGAAGAGAAAGAAAAUUCGAUUCCCUGAGUAGCGGCGAGCGAAACGGGAAGAGCCCAAACCAAUAAGCUUGCUUAUUGGGGUUGUAGGACACUCUAUACGGAGUUACAAAGGAAUAUAUUAAACGAAUCAUCUGGAAAGUUGAAUCAAAGAAGGUAAUAAUCCUGUAGUUGAAAAUAUAUUCUCUCUUGAGUGGAUCCUGAGUACGACGGAGCACGUGAAAUUCCGUCGGAAUCUGGGAGGACCAUCUCCUAAGGCUAAAUACUCUCUAGUGACCGAUAGUGAACCAGUACCGUGAGGGAAAGGUGAAAAGUACCCCGGAAGGGGAGUGAAAGAGAACUUGAAACCGUGUGCUUACAAGUAGUCAGAGCCCGUUAAUGGGUGAUGGCGUGCCUUUUGUAGAAUGAACCGGCGAGUUACGAUCUGAUGCAAGGUUAAGCAGAAAAUGUGGAGCCGUAGCGAAAGCGAGUCUGAAUAGGGCGUAUAGUAUUUGGUCGUAGACCCGAAACCAGGUGAUCUACCCAUGGUCAGGUUGAAGUUCAGGUAACACUGAAUGGAGGACCGAACCGACUUACGUUGAAAAGUGAGCGGAUGAACUGUGGGUAGCGGAGAAAUUCCAAUCGAACUUGGAGAUAGCUGGUUCUCUCCGAAAUAGCUUUAGGGCUAGCCUCAAGUGAUGAUUAUUGGAGGUAGAGCACUGUUUGGACGAGGGGCCCCUCUCGGGUUACCGAAUUCAGACAAACUCCGAAUGCCAAUUAAUUUAAC
rnacentral:rRNA from 1 species